GAUAAGAAAUGAGUAAAGGGAGUAAACAAAUAUUCUUUUGCAUUGUCACCACGAAGUAUUUUAAUAGAAACACCGAAUUGAUUACGUAUUUCAGUAGAAAAUUUUUGAAAUAUAUAGAAUAAUUCAGAACGAGUCUUCAUUAAAAAUAACCAAGUGCAACAAGAAUAAUUAUCAACAAAAGUAACAGAAUAAUGAAAUCCCAAAGUUGUAC
rnacentral:misc_RNA from 1 species